GCCUACAGCCAUACCACCCUGAACGUGCCCGAUCUGGUCAGAUCUCAGAAGCUAAGCAGGGUUGGGCCUCGUUAGAACUUGGAUGGGACAAAAAUAUUCUUAAUGUCUUGAUAUCAGGCUUUAAUCGCCU
rnacentral:rRNA from 1 species